AGAGUUGAUCUGGCUCAGAACGAACGCUGGCGGCGCGUUUAAGCAUGCAAGUCGAGCGGCAAGGGCCUUCGGGCCCCUAGAGCGGCGGACGGGUGAGUAACACGUGGACAAUCUCGCCCCCCGGCCCGGGAUAGCCCAGGGAAACCUGGAUUAAUACCGGAUGAGACGGGACCCGCGAUGGCGGGACCCGGGAAAGGCGCUGCGGCGCCGCCGGGGGAUGAGUCUGCGUCCCAUUAGCUAGACGGCGGGGUAACGGCCCACCGUGGCGACGAUGGGUAGCCGGCCUGAGAGGGUGGACGGCCACAUUGGAACUGAGACACGGUCCAGACUCCUACGGGAGGCAGCAGCUAAGAAUCUUCCGCAAUGGGCGAAAGCCUGACGGAAGCGACGCCGCGUGAACGAAGAAGGCCGUGAGGUUGUAAAGUUCUUUUCGGGAGGGGGAACAACCGUGGCAGGGAAUGGCCGCGGGAUGACGUGAAUCCCGGAAUAAGCCCCGGCUAACUACGUGCCAGCCGCCGC
rnacentral:rRNA from 1 species